GACGAACGCUGGCGGAAUGCCUAAAACAUGCAAGUCGAACGACGCUCAUGAAGUGCUUGCACGGAUUGAUGACGGAGUGGCGAACGGGUGCGGAACACGUGAAUAACCUGCCCUAGAGACUGGGAUAGCUCAGAGAAAUUUGAAUUAAUACCAGAUGUCUUCUUUAAACCUCAUGGUUUUUUGAAGAAAUGCUUUUGCGCUCUAGGAUGGAUUCGCGGCCUAUCAGCUUGUUGGUGAGGUAACGGCUCACCAAGGCAACGACGGGUAGCUGGUCUGAGAGGACGAUCAGCCACAUCGGGACUGAGACACGGCCCGGACUUCUACGGAAGGCAGCAGUUGGGAAUAUUGCGCAAUGGGGGAAACCCUGACGCAGCAAUUCCGCGUGCGGGAAGACGGCCUUCGGGUUGUAAACCGCUUUCAGCAGGGAAGAAAUUGACGGUACCUGCAAAAGAAGCCCCGGCUAACUAUG
rnacentral:rRNA from 1 species